GCAGCGGCGACGGAGGAUAAAGUUCUGGUUCCACCGGGUGGGUCUUCGGGAGCAGCUCCCUGUGGACGGAGAGACGAAGGUCUUCAUGAACCAGGAGACCAGCUCCUCCUUAGUGAACAGCUUCAGAGCCUCAAUCUGCAACAGAGAGUGCCUCGGGUUAUGGCCUCAGACCAGGACCAGAGAGCAGGACCUCAGACCUGCUGCAGGUGGCACCACCUAUGGUUUCGGUGAGCAUCCUCACACUCCUUCAGCUUGAUAAGCGCCGUCACCUGGGUCCCGAACGCCUCCUCGCUCAGGGCUGACAAGCACUCAC